rnacentral:rRNA from 1 species
AUUGAACGCUGGCGGCAGGCCUAACACAUGCAAGUCGAGCGGAUGACGGGAGCUUGCUCCUUGAUUCAGCGGCGGACGGGUGAGUAAUGCCUAGGAAUCUGCCUGGUAGUGGGGGACAACGUUUCGAAAGGAACGCUAAUACCGCAUACGUCCUACGGGAGAAAGCAGGGGACCUUCGGGCCUUGCGCUAUCAGAUGAGCCUAGGUCGGAUUAGCUAGUUGGUGAGGUAAUGGCUCACCAAGGCGACGAUCCGUAACUGGUCUGAGAGGAUGAUCAGGCACACUGGAACUGAGACACGGUCCAGACUCCUACGGGAGGCAGCAGUGGGGAAUAUUGGACAAUGGGCGAAAGCCUGAUCCAGCCAUGCCGCGUGUGUGAAGAAGGUCUUCGGAUUGUAAAGCACUUUAAGUUGGGAGGAAGGGCAGUAAGUUAAUACCUUGCUGUUUUGACGUUACCGACAGAAUAAGCACCGGCUAACUCUGUGCCAGCCGCCGCUGUAAAAC